ACCACCUCUGCAGCUGUUAAG
rnacentral:miRNA from 1 species